AAUAGAUAUAAUAUUUUCAUCAUCAUAAAGCAUAGUGUGUUUACUCAAUAUUGUGUUUAAGAAAAUUGUUGAAUAUUAAGUUUUGAAGAUUACGAAAUCUUGUUUGUGCUUAUUGCGUGCCAAUCAAUAUUUCAUAUAUCACAAUAUUUACAUCAUCAUCAAUCCUUUCAUGAGAGGGUAGGUAGUACUCAAAAAAAGAUGAAAAAACACAUCCUAUUUUUACAUAAUACCUCAAUUUCCUCCAUAUCACAUACCUACUAUAUUAUUACAAGUAUACUCUUAUUCAUAUAUCUUCAAAUACUCAUCCACUUGUUAUACUUUCUCUUCAGAUUAUUUUCGUUGUCUUUAGUGUCUCUCUCCUGCACUUAAUCUACACAUCCACUGAACACUCGUUCGAAUGAUAAAAUAAAGGAAUAUAGCUAAUGAAGUAUAUAAAUCAAGUCUGAGUUGGUUUGAUUAUAUGAAGAAAAGUGAAAAAAACUAACAAUCAUAUCUAGAGGCAUCUUAUCUCCAUUAUAUACAAAUGCUUUUUAUGCCUUUCAAACUAUACUCAAGAUUAUUCUGAUAGAUUAAUGUAUCAAUGUUUAGGAUCUGCACACACUGAUACACAGCCAUCAUAGUACUGUUUGGCACAUUUUCAUUCCUAUCACAUCUCUUGAGUGUACCUAUAACUUUUGAUCAAUCAUUUACUCAUCUGACAACCUUCACAUUAAUAUGACCUUCUUUUUGAAAUAUAAUUCCCAAGUUCACAAAUUCAUUCACUUUACAUUUAUCCAUUCACCUCAAUUUCACAUCUUGAUCAUUCUUCAUUCCUCAUUUCUUACAAGCAUAAAACACAAGCACUUUAUCUUCCCUCCAUUUUAUUUUCAUCUGCAUCUUCUCAUCUCAUUCAGCCAUAUAGCAAGCAUCUCGAAACCUUAUUUGCUUUCAUAAAUAUGAACAAAUCAGAAUAUAUGCCACAAUAAAAUUGCCA
rnacentral:lncRNA from 1 species